rnacentral:rRNA from 1 species
UACGGAGGGGGCUAGCGUUGUUCGGAAUUACUGGGCGUAAAGCGCACGUAGGCGGAUCGGAAAGUUGGGGGUGAAAUCCCGGGGCUCAACCCCGGAACUGCCUUCAAAACUACUGGUCUUGAGUUCGAGAGAGGUGAGUGGAAUUCCGAGUGUAGAGGUGAAAUUCGUAGAUAUUCGGAGGAACACCAGUGGCGAAGGCGGCUUACUGGAUCGAUACUGACGCUGAGGUGCGAAAGCGUGGGGAGCAAACAGG